rnacentral:rRNA from 1 species
UACGUAGGGGGCGAGCGUUGUCCGGAAUUACUGGGCGUAAAGGGUGCGUAGGUGGUACGCUAAGUUGGAUGUGAAAUACCCGGGCUUAACUUGGGGGCUGCAUCCAAUACUGGCGAACUAGAGUGCAGGAGAGGAAAGCGGAAUUCCUAGUGUAGCGGUGAAAUGCGUAGAUAUUAGGAGGAACACCAGUGGCGAAGGCGGCUUUCUGGACUGUAACUGACACUGAGGCACGAAAGCGUGGGGAGCAAACAGGAUUAGAUACCCUGGUAGUCCACGCUGUAAACGAUGAAUACUAGGUGUAGGGGGUAUCAACUCCCUCUGUGCCGUAGCUAACGCAAUAAGUAUUCCGCCUGGGGAGUACGGCCGCAAGGUUGAA